AUAGGUUUCGAAAUUACCUAAUGUGCGUAUAUCGUAUGAUCGACACGGUAAGUUCACGUUUCGUAUGCAUGUUAAAAGUUUUCAUAUCCAAACGGCUUUUAACCGUCGUCUGUUACAAUUUGUAAUUAGGGUUGUAAAAGAACAGAGCACGUACGUUAAUGGAUGGUGAUUCAAGCUAGUAUACACAGAGAUAAUGAAGAAAUGAUAUAUAGGUGCGACAGACGUUGAACACAGAUAGUUGAGAAUUGAAAGAGUUUAAUUUUCCGAUAUGUUGAUAUUGCAGAAGCCCUAAUUGUAAUGGGCCUAAAGAGACCUUCUAAAUAAAUAAUGACUAAAUGUAAUUUCAAAUGUGAAUAUCGAUACCCUCUCAAGCUGGAGAAUGUAUGCCACAUAUUCUCAGUUUGGGUAAGAGUCUUCUAAGAUUGUCUGUUGAUAUUGCGGAAGCCCUAAUUGUAAUGGGCCUAAAGAGGCAUUCUAAAUGAAUAAUGAUUAAAUGAUAAAUGUAAUUUUAAAUGUGAAUGUUGAUAUUCCCUCAAGCUGAAGAAUGAUUGUCACAUAUUCCCAGUUUGGAUAAGAAUCUUCUAAGACUGUUUGUUGAUAUUGCGCAAGCCCUAAUUGUAAUGGGCCUAAAGAGACCUUCUAAAUGAAGAAUGACUAAAUGAUAAAUGUAAUUUCAAAUGUGAAUGUCGAUACCCUCUCAAGCUGGAGAAUGUAUGUCACAUAUUCCCAAUUUGGGUAAGAGUCUUCAAAGACUGUCUAUUGAUG
rnacentral:lncRNA from 1 species